AUUGAACGCUGGCGGCAGGCUUAACACAUGCAAGUCGAACGAUUGGCGGACGGGUGAGUAAUGCUUGGGAAUCUCGCUUAUGGAGGGGGAUAACUACGGGAACCUGUAGCUAAUACCGCUUACCAUAGGAUGAGCCCAAGUGGGAUUAGGUAUUUGGUGAGGUAAAGGCUCACCAAGCCGACGAUCUCUAGCUGGCCUGAGAGGAUGACCAGCAAAACUGGGACGGAGACACGGCCCAGACUCCUACGGGAGGCAGCAGUGGGGAAUAUUGCAAAAUGGGCGCAAGCCUGAUGCAGCCAUGCCGCGUGUAGGAAGAAGGCCUUCGGGUUGUAAAGUACUUUCAGUCGGGAGGCGUUACCCGAAGAAGAAGCACCGGCUAACUCCGUGCCAGCAGCCGCGGUAAUAC
rnacentral:rRNA from 1 species